UACAGAGGGUGCAAGCGUUAAUCGGAGUUACUGGGCGUAAAGGGCGCGUAGGCGGUCUUAUAAGUUGGUUGUGAAAUCCCCGGGCUUAACCUGGGAACUGCAACCAAAACUGUAAGACUGGAGUACUGUAGAGGGUAGUGGAAUUUCCGGUGUAGCGGUGAAAUGCGUAGAGAUCGGAAGGAACACCAGUGGCGAAGGCGGCUACCUGGACAGAUACUGACGCUGAGGCGCGAGAGCGUUGGGAGCAAACAGG
rnacentral:rRNA from 1 species